rnacentral:lncRNA from 1 species
ACACGAUCAAGACAAGGGGGCUACGCAGCAAGAGGCAUAUCCCACUCGGACUAGUUAGGUGUGCAUAUGGAAACUACUCGGUCUACACCAAGUAGAACUCUGCAAUCGUACCCGACUAGGAUUCAAACUUGUAACCCUGCCCUCCCGAGUAUAUAAGGGCGGGCAGGGACCCCCUAAAAGACAACAACUCCAGUUCAUCUAAGAUCAAUACAACCAACUCACGGGACGUAGGGUAUUACGUGAUCUAGCGGCCCGAACCUGUCUAAAUCGUGUUCCUUGCGUCACCAUCGACUCCUUGACUCUCGACGGCCC